UUGAAGGGAAAGUGCCAUGCAGUCAUGACAGUGAUGCAGGUGAUCAGUAUUCAUUUGUGGCAGGUUCUCCUUGAAGUAUCAGCAGGGGGCAGAAGGGUAAUUGUGAGUUGAGAUGCUAAUGAGAGAAAAAUUAACCUUAAUGAGAGACUGGUGGGUGUGAGGUGAAGGUUUCCUACAAUUCUGGCCUGAUUUUGAGUUUUAGUUUAUGCAGUGUUGAGCUUUUUUUCUUGGAAAUCUUGUAAGAGGAUGGAAUGAAAUGAGUCCUAUUCUAGUACCGCCCCUUCAACAGGUGGUGCUCACAAUCCCAAACUCUUGAGUGCAGAACAAAAGAGCCUGUGUCCCUCAGAAAGAGGAUUAUUUGAAUAAACGCAGACUAUAGACCAGCGUUGUGGGAGUCAGCUUAGAAGUAUCCACAUUUUUGCAGCAGUGUUGGGUUUGCACCUCUGAGGACUCGUAUGCAAAAUGAGGCUUUUUCUGGGAGUUUCUCUCGUUAUUCUCUUCCUGUGGCUACAGUCGGCUCAGAAGUCCAGCAACAGCAGAAAUGUUUGUGAGGCAGCAUCUAUGAGCGAAGCGGUGGUGUCUUUCCUGUUAUCGCCUCUGUCUCUGUAUUCGUGGAUGGCCUCUACGCUGCUCAGAUUCGUCGUCUCCCUACCGGCUCUCGUGUCCAGCGCUCUUCAUCACUCCCUGCUGCUGCUCCUGGCUGGACCUUGGUGUGUUGCCACAAUCUGCACCUCCUUUCUGCUUACAUGCCUCCAUGUUGGCCUGUACCUACUUCACAUGGCACUGGUUGUAGGCGCAAUGGCCUUUUUAACUCUAAAUCAGCACAAAAAGCCUGACAGCGGUAAUAUUGAUGAGUCAAAGGAAAAUGACAUGAAGGCGUGGAUCCAACAGAAGAGACUUGAAGGCCGUCUGAGAAGAAGUGGCUGCAGAAUUGUUCAGCAGGGCUGAUUUCUGUGAUGAAAAUCAUGCUAUAGUGGAUUUAUUUGAGUGAAAAACACCACUUCAGUUGCUUUGAACCUCGCUUCACCUUCAUUUACUUAAUGAAUGGGAAACCGGUAAAUUUUUAAGAUGUUUUCUGUGGUUAAAUUGGCUUUGAGACAUUUCAUAAAGAAGGAAAAAAUAAAAAUUAAAGGAAACUAGAAUGAGUCCUUGUGAUCUAAAUGAGGGUGAAAAUAUAUAUACCAGUUGCUACUGUAACAAACGCCCACCCUUUGUCCACUUAUCUAUCCCCCUCAUUUUCGCUCUCGUCAUCCUUAAAUGUGGCCUCCCAAUUAUCUGCGGAUUGUUGUGCGGUUUGCCCGCUGCCUCUCUCCCCCCCGAGAUGUUAUCAUUAGGCAUGUCUGUCAAAUGGAGAUGAGAGGAUAAAGGAAGAAGAGGGAGGAAAACGACUACAUCUUGAGCAUUCACUGUGUCAGUGCUUUUUAAUGUUUGCGUGUUUACAUGGUGGAGUCCAGCAAUGCAGGACGUGCAAACCAGAGUCCUGAAAAACACUAAUAAAGGGAGUUAACAGGGAGGGAAACUACAUGUGGUGGAGGCCCUGAACCGAGGCACUGGGUGCCUGCCCAACCGCUAAACAGCAGACCAACUGGGGCUCUCAGGGCAGCAAUGAAGGGAAGUUCAACUAUUUAAUGCAAGCUGUUGGAAUUACUGGUAAACAUGUAGGCACUGAAAGCAAAAGGAAGUUUGUGGUUUGAGGUCUGAGCGCCUGAGUGAGACGGAAAGACAGGGGCGAAAUGAGGCUGGAUCAUAGAGAUUUAUUACAUGGCCGUGGCGUCCUAAUUAGCAUAAAGACUGGCCUGGCCUGCUCAAGCAGAGAAUUAAAAACCCUAAUUGUGCUGUCAGCCUCCCUCUGUCUUUGCCACUGCUGGCUCUACUUCAUUCCACUCAGAUUUGUUUCCUUCCACUCUAGCCGCCGUCUCCUCUUCUGCCUCUCGGU